GUUAAGAAUAGGAUGUACUCACCCCCAGGAAGACCUGGAAACUUUCCACCCCCUUCAAACGGUAGUAAACUACCGAUAAUUAAUGUUCCUUCUUCCCGAAGGGGACCUGCGGAAGGAUCAUUA
rnacentral:rRNA from 1 species